rnacentral:piRNA from 1 species
UGUUUGAGUCAAAAGAUUCUAGCUGGCAU